UACAGAGGCCUCGAGCGUUAGGCGGAAUCACUGGGCUUAAAGCGUGUGUAGGCGGACUUCUAAGUACCUUGUGAAAUCCCACGGCUCACCCGUGGAACUGCUUGGUAUACUGGUUGUCUUGAGCCUUCUAGGGGCGAGUGGAACAAAUGGUGGAGCGGUGAAAUGCGUAGAUAUCAUUUGGAACGCCAAUGGUGAAAACAACUCGCGUGGGGAAGUGCUGACGCUGAGAACACGGAAAGCCCAGGGGAGGCGAACGGG
rnacentral:rRNA from 1 species